UACGAAGGGGGCUAGCGUUGUCCGGAAUUAUUGGGCGUAAAGCGCGCGCAGGCGGUCCUUUAAGUCUGAUGUGAAAUCUUGCGGCUCAACCGCAAGCGGUCAUUGGAAACUGGGGGACUUGAGUACAGAAGAGGAGAGCGGAAUUCCACGUGUAGCGGUGAAAUGCGUAGAGAUGUGGAGGAACACCAGUGGCGAAGGCGGCUCUUUGGCCUAUAACUGACGCUGAGGCGCGAAAGCGUGGGGGGCAAACAGG
rnacentral:misc_RNA from 1 species